GCACCUGAAAUCAAGUAAGAUCACCCGCUGGACUUAAGCAUAUUACUAAGCGGAGGAAAAGAAAUUAACUAAGAUUGCCUUAGUAAGGGCGACUGAACCGGCAAAAGCUCGAAAUUAAAAUCGGAAAUUCAAUGAAUUUUCGAAUUGUAAUCAGGGUACCCAAAAUACGGGAGGUUACUCAAGAGUAUCGAAAGACUCGCCAAAGAGGGUGAAAGCCCCGUGCAGUAAUCUCUCGAACGUGGGGACUCGAACAAGAGUCGUGUUGCUUGGAACUGCAGCACUAAGUGGGAGAUAUGAUUCUUCCAAAGCUAAAUAUGGAUGGGAGA
rnacentral:rRNA from 1 species